AACGAACGCUGGCGGCAGGCUUAACACAUGCAAGUCGAACGCGCCGCAAGGGGAGUGGCAGACGGGUGAGUAACACGUGGGAACAUGCCCAAAGGUACGGAACAACUCCGGGAAACUGGAGCUAAUACCGUAUGUGCCCGAAAGGGGAAAGAUUUAUCGCCUUUGGAUUGGCCCGCGUCGGAUUAGCUAGUUGGUGGGGUAAAAGCCUACCAAGGCGACGAUCCGUAGCUGGUUUGAGAGAACGACCAGCCACACUGGGACUGAGACACGGCCCAGACUCCUACGGGAGGCAGCAGUGGGGAAUCUUGGACAAUGGGCGCAAGCCUGAUCCAGCCAUGCCGCGUGGAUGAUGAAGGCCUUAGGGUUGUAAAAUCCUUUCGUUGGGGACGAUAAUGACGGUACCCAAAGAAGAAGCCCCGGCUAACCUCGUGCCAGCCGCCGCAGUAA
rnacentral:rRNA from 1 species